UUUCCGUAGGUGAACCUGCGGAAGGAUCAUUACUGAGUUAGGGUCUUUAUGGCCCGACCUCCAACCCUUUGUUUAAUCUACCAUGUUGCUUUGGCAGGCCCGCUUAGAAAUGGGCCGCCGGAGACCUUUGAGUCUCUGGUCAGUGCCUGCCAGUAGCCUUUCUAAAUUCAUUUAUAACCGUGUCUGAAUAUACAAAGGAAAAUUAAAAUAAAACUUUCAACAACGGAUCUCUUGGUUCUG
rnacentral:misc_RNA from 1 species